UACGGAGGAUGCAAGCGUUAUCCGGAAUGAUUGGGCGUAAAGCGUCCGCAGGUGGCUGUGUAAGUCUGCUGUUAAAGAGUGAGGCUCAACCUCAUAAAAGCAGUGGAAACUACACGGCUAGAGUGCGUUCGGGGCAGAGGGAAUUCCUGGUGUAGCGGUGAAAUGCGUAGAUAUCAGGAAGAACACCGGUGGCGAAGGCGGGUCUCUGGGCCGAUACUGACGCUGGAGGAGCGAAAGCCGUGGGGAGCGAACAGG
rnacentral:rRNA from 1 species